GGUUUAAUUCGACGCAACGCGCAGAACUUUACCUGGCCUUGACAUCCCGGGAAUUUCCUGGAAACAGGAGAGUGCUUUCAUUAGAGAGAACCUGGAGACAGGUGCUGCAUGGCUGUCGUCUAGCUCGUGUCGUGAGAUGUUGGGUUAAGUCCCGCAACGAGCGCAACCCUUGUCCUUAGUUGCCAUCAUUUAGUUGGGCACUCUAAGGAGACUGCCGGUGUUAAACCGGAGGAAGGUGGGGAUGACGUCAAGUCCUCAUGGCCCUUAUGUCCAGGGCUACACACGUGCUACAAUGGCCGGUACAAAGGGCAGCAAAGCCGCGAGGUGGAGCCAAUCCCAGAAAGCCGGUCUCAGUUCGGAUUGGAGUCUGCAACUCGACUCCAUGAAGUUGGAAUCGCUAGUAAUCGCGGAUCAGCAUGCCGCGGUGAAUACGUUCCCGGGCCUU
rnacentral:rRNA from 1 species